rnacentral:tmRNA from 1 species
UGGUGGAAGCGAGGGGGAUCGAACCCCUGUCCAAAAACAAAACAACCGCAGCCUCUACAUGUUUAGCAAAAGUGAAAGUUUCAUCUAGCAAGGCUCACUUUCCAAAACCAAAAGCUAGACUAAGACAAGGUUUCGACUCUCAGCUCGUCAAACUGCUAGCCUACACUAUCUGGAUUACUCGCGGACUCUUUUAGAUAGUAUCAAAAAGCGCAAGGCUCAACUGAACUUACGCAGCUUUAGCGUAAGCAGGAGCGAAAUUAACGUUAUUUGCGUUUAAAUUUAAUUUGAGCUUUUUACGCUUUGCUCAAAGCGACAUGCCACCACGACCAUCCUGCUCCUGUCGAAGCCAAGUCGCUCCC